CCGGCUUAGUAGGGACACAUAAAAUCAAUAUCCUCGCCGUUAACGUCGACGCACGAAACCCUUCAUCCGCCGUUAAAAAACUAACGACUGGCGGCCAAAACAACGCCUUCCCGUGGCCAUCACCCGACGGUAAACGCAUCGUGUUCCGGUCUGACCGCUCCGGUACGAAAAACCUUUACAUUAUGGACGCGGAGAAAGGUGAAGCCGGUGGUUUGUUCAGACUAACCAACGGUAACUGGAACGAUACGAUAGCCACUUGGUCUCCAGACAAUAACUGGAUCGUGUUCGCAUCGAACCGGGAAUAUAUUGGUACGUUGUUGAUGGAUUUGUAUGUGGUUCACCCGGACGGGACCGGUUUAAGGAAGGUGGCGCAAAACUUGACCGGUGGAGUUUCCAUGCAUCCCAUGUUUAGUCCAGAUAGUAAAAGAAUCGUGUUCACUACUACUUACGCUGGUAUCUCAGCAGAGCCUAUUGGUAAUCCGAAGUUUAACGUCGCGAGUAGUGAGAUUUUUACUGUGAAUUUGGAUGGUUCUGAUUUCAUGAGGCUCACGCACAACUCGGUUGAAGAUGGUCCGCCUCUGUGGUUUCCGAAGAUCAAAGCUACUGGUGAUGUAGCAUGGCCCAAGAGGUUUGGGGCUAGCUGCGCUUUUGAAGAUUUCAAGUCGCAGAAUACGACCGUGAAAAUGAAUAAGCGGUCAUUGAUGUGUCCCUCACAAUAGUUUGUUAUUUAAUAACUUACUGUUUGAGUUGAUAACUUUGUUAUAGUGAUAUCUUAUAAAUGUAUUGGAAAUGAAUAAGGAAUAAUAUAGUAUUGUACUUUAGAUUUCUUGAUAUCUUUCGGUGGUAAAUUUAUGAAAGAAUGGCAAUACAUUUUCAAAAACUAGCUAGAAACAUUUCAUGAGAAUUUGAUUAAUUUUCUCGUAUCCAUUAAACUAAAAGUCUGAGGUAGGGAUCAUAGUUACCUCAAACCGCUGGAUAUGUGGAUAGCUAUGAUCUUUGUAUUCAACCGAUACAGAAUGAGAAUAUGUUUAUCAGUAAACUGCGUGGCUGAUAACUGGUUGUUGGGAUAAUGUGCUACAUUUGUAUUAGUGCAUAUGUUCAUUUGGGACGGUGUUAGACUUUUGGCUGUUUUUCUUUAUAAAACUAGCUAUUUAGAAAAAGAAGAUGGAACCAGAGUAUAUUCAAAUUGAUUGUCAUUCUCGUUUACAUUGAUUAUUGUCUUAGAAUGGCUUCUAAUUUCGUAUGUGUAUUUUUAAUGAAACCACAAUAAUAUUCAAAUUCAUAUAUCUUGGUUACAAUUCAAUUAGAUACCCAGUCAUAUAUGGGUAUUGGGUAUCAUCUAGCAUCUUCAGUGAUAGGGAUGCACCGAUGCAAGUUAACCAGCCAAGUCUUGACGUCUUAUACCAAUUGGAUUGGAAAUAAAAUACAAGUCCGAAGGGGUGUCAAACUGAGUUAUAGCUCAUAAACUAGUCCAGUUCAGCUCGAUUUUUCAUGAGCAUGAGAGCUGUUUUUUUUUAGGCUCAUUUAGAAAAUGAGCGUAAUGAUCGAGCUUAAAUUAAAUCACGAGUUAUAUGAACGAUCUUUAAUGAACAUGAACGAACUCAUGAGCUUGGUCGUUUUUAUACUUUAUAUAUAUAUAUAUUUGUGUGUGUGUGAAUUUUAUUUUUCUUAUAUAAGAAAAUAUAGUUUCUAUAUAAAUCAUAUCUAUCUUCUAAUUAAAAUUAAAAUGUAAAAUCAAAAAGCUUUAAAUACAUAUAAGAAUGUAAAAUAAUAUUGAUAUCAAUCCUCAUAUCAUAUAUCUUUAGAAUUAAAAUGUAAAACAAAAUAUUCCUAAGACUCUCAUGUGGAAUAUAUAUGCAACGUAGAUGGUAUCAUGUCGUAGCGAUAUCUGGGUAAAUCAUUUCGUUAUUAAUGUUAUCUUUAUCGAUGUAUCUAAGCCAGGAUUAUCUAAAUGUGUUAGAAGGAUUUGUACCACUGCGACAUGAUACCAUCCAGGUUGUAUCCAAACCAUAAGAGUCCACGAAACAACUAGACAUCCAAUAAUUGGAGAGUGGGAUCUUGUAGGCAUUUUUUGUUCCCUUCGGAGCCAUACAGAAAGAGAUCAUAUUUUCAGUAGCAAGCAUCUUUCAAACGACGACAAGGCAGAUCCGUCAAAUCACAUAGCAGUUAAUCUAGCCUAGUUUAAUGUCAUAAUAAUUGUACACUGUUCAUGCUUCUUUAGUAUAUACUCACUCUGUUGUAUUUUAAUUAUCAUUUUAGAUUUAAACGCACAGAUUAAAAAUAUAUUUAAUUUUGUAUAUUUACUAAAAGAAAACAAUAUUACCAAUACAAGUAACCACAUUUUAACCAAUAGAAAAAUAGAUUAAAAUAUAAAGUCAAUAAAUUUUGCGUUGAAACUAUAAAAUGACACUUAUUAUGAAACAAAUUUUUUACUCUAAAACGACAUUUAAAUUGAAACAGAAAAAUAUAGUUUGAUACUUAUCCUAAUUCAAGUAAGACAUGCUUGAUGAUUUGUGUGAUUAACCUCUGUUUAUCUAUAAUUGAAUAUUUAAGAUAAAAUCUAAAAGAUAUACACAUUUAUUUGGAUUGAAAUCUGAUGAUCUAUUACUAAAUUUUACUGUUAAUACUGCUAAUAUUCCUAGAUUUUAUUUGCCUCAAAUCAUUACUUCCCCGAUAAUGUCAAGAUCCUAUCCUGUAAUGUUCCCAGUGUAUUUUCUCAUCCAUGACCUUCAAAUUCAGAUUGACAUUUAUCCAAAACUACCAAUCAUAUCAAUUUCAUCCCAAACAAACAAGGAAUUUGAAACUUUUUUUAUCACAUAAAAAGGAAAUAGAAUCAAAUAAAUAAACUUAAAAGGCAAGGAAUCUUCGUAUUUAGUUAAUAGAAUAUAAAUUUCCCGAAUUAGUCAAAAGCUUUAAAAAUAAAAGUGUUAUCCACGUCAGCACUUACAACUAUUAUAUAAUGCUCCCGCCAAUUGCCAAAUCCCAAACAUUCAGACCACCCAAAAAAAUCAUGAACUCGACUCUAGUCUUCUUCUCGUUCUUCCUCAUCUCUCUCUUCUGCUUAUCAGCUUUAGCUGAGACCUCUCAAGCUUCUGAUGGCUCCACCAUCUUGUUCACGACGAUGGGUAGCUCCACUUUCGAGUUCGACAUCUUCACCCUCCACACCAGCCGUCGUCCUCCAUCUCCUUCCGAUGAGCACCGUCUCACCGACGGAAAAUCAAUCAACUUUAACGGCCACUUAGCGUCUCCUUCCCCGGCGCUAAUCUCCCUUCUUCCCAAUACAUCCGGGGUCCAACCACAAGACAAGACUCUUCUCCAUCUCAUCUACGUCACCGAGAGAGACGGCGCGCCUACCUUACACUACGACGUCGUUCACAGCGAUAAUAAAGGAACCAACGUUCAAGUCCCGUUACUGUCAGAGCAACAGAGUGGCAUGAGUGUAAACUCGAUGAAAGACACUCCUGUCUUAACCAACGAGCAUCUUGUCUACGUGUCGACUCACGAGAACUCCGGUAAGCCCAUGGCGAGUUGGGCCGCAGUCUACUCCACCGAGUUAAUAACUAAAGCGACUCAGCGUCUAACGCCUCCCGGAAUCGCUGAUUUCUCUCCGGCCGUGUCUCCGUCGGGGAAGUGGACCGCCGUGGCUUCCUACGGGGAGAAAGGUUGGAGUAUUGUGUCGAAGGAGCUUAGCACGGACAUCUACGUUUUCCUGACUGGAGACGGGACUCAGCGAGUCAAGGUGGUCGAGCUUGGAGGAUGGCCGAGAUGGACCGACGAGUCGACUCUUUAUUUCCACCGCAAAAGCGACGACGGUUGGAUCAGCGUGUACCGUGCGGUUUUACCCAAAACCGGACCGGUUUCAACCAAAACCGUAACGGUUACCCGAGUCACACCUUCUGGUAUUCACGCGUUCACACCAGCCACGUCACCAAACAACAACGACUUCAUCGCUGUUGCGACGAGGAGGCCCGAAUCGGAGAUCCGCCACGUGGAGCUUUUCGAUUUAAAGAAAAACGAGUUCGUCGAGCUGACUCGUCUCGUGUCUCCGAAGAGUCACCAUUUCAACCCGUUUCUUUCCCCUGACUCGUCCCGAGUCGGGUACCAUAGCUGCAGAGGCGACAGAACGAAUCCUCACAAUCUCCUCCAGAGGCUCAAAACCACUUCGGAGGAUCUAUCUCUCUUCAGAUUCGACGGCGCGUUCCCGUCUCUCUCCCCCGAAGGCAAUCGUUUCGCGUUCGUCACGUUCACGGGAGUUUUCGUAGUGAACCAAGACGGUUCCGGUCUACGCCAGAUUCUCCCGCAGGUUGGAUUUGGAACGGUUUGGGAUCCGGUUCGACGCGGGAUCGUGUACACAAGCUCAGAUCCCAGUCUUAAUUUCACAGCUCCCGGCUUAGUAGGGACACAUAAAAUCAAUAUCCUCGCCGUUAACGUCGACGCACGAAACCCUUCAUCCGCCGUUAAAAAACUAACGACUGGCGGCCAAAACAACGCCUUCCCGUGGCCAUCACCCGACGGUAAACGCAUCGUGUUCCGGUCUGACCGCUCCGGUACGAAAAACCUUUACAUUAUGGACGCGGAGAAAGGUGAAGCCGGUGGUUUGUUCAGACUAACCAACGGUAACUGGAACGAUACGAUAGCCACUUGGUCUCCAGACAAUAACUGGAUCGUGUUCGCAUCGAACCGGGAAUAUAUUGGUACGUUGUUGAUG
rnacentral:lncRNA from 1 species